rfam:Oryza glaberrima chromosome 6 Oglab06_0211_1, whole genome shotgun sequence.
AAUAAGUCCAUUCAUGAGUUUUCGUGUCCAACUUUGAUCGUUCGUCUUAAUUGAAUUUUUUUUAUGAUUAGUUAUGCAUGACUUAUGUUUUUAGCUUUUUUUUAAAAAAAAUUAAAUAAGACGGAUGAUAAAAGUUGGACAUAGAAACUCAUGGCUGCGCUUAUU